rnacentral:lncRNA from 1 species
CAUUUUCAAUGUGUCAAAUUAAGAAUUCUAAAUGAUGACAAAGGUUAUUGUGUAUUAAUUUUCUGUUUACAAAACUUUGAAUUUUUCGAAAAAUUAGGAUUUUCUUAUCCCAGGCAUAGAUUACCUUAGCCGUAUUUGGCACACCUUUUUUGGAAUUUUGAAUCCUCAAUGCUCUUCAACUUUUACUUUUUGGCUUUAUAAAUAUUUUGAUAUGAGCGUCACUGAUGAGUCUUAUGUAGACGAAACGCGCGUCUGGCAUACUAAAUUAUAAUCCUGGUACCUUUGAUUAUACAACUAUUUGUGACACAGAACGACAACAUGCACUCUGCAAAUCUAAAAACAAAUAUGCAACGAUUGUAUUGAUGUUCUUCGUUUUGGUACGAUUUCAAGGACACCGUUAAUAUAUCAAGUUGUGCCUUUAAAAGUAUUGAUGCUGGUAUACUUUUGAAGAGACAAGCAUAAGUUUUAAUGAUAAGAAAUAUAAACAUAAAAAAGCUAUAUACAACGUGCAAACAAUAAAUAAUUUCCGUCAUAAUUCGUAUUUAGCCGACAAGGUCAUUUUAGCC